GUCUUGAUCCUGCAGUCUUUACUGGACGAAUAGUCCUAUUGAUUUCAACAGAGGAUGGGGGCCUGAAUAUUGAGGUAUGGAGAUGUUUAGAAGGCACACGAGUGAACAGAAGAGGGCAGUGGAGCCCUAAAUGUACAGGAAGAUCUAAUAAUGAGAUGGAGACUUGGGAAUGCUACAGGCAGACUCCAGGUCAACCUGGAAUCCAUUGAUAAUGGGAACUAGCUAACAUUUACCUGUUCAGAAGGAAUACCAAGCAGAUUUUUAAAAACAAUCUGUGAACAGAGCCAGAUCCUGCUAAGCUCUUAGUAGAGAUGGCUGGAGAUAAAAGAAGAGACAGAGGAGCUCAGAAAAAAAGACCAUCCAAAAUGUAGGAUGUAAACAAAGCUGGGAUUGGGCAGAGUGACAGACAGAGUCUGAAAUGGCAGAAGAAUGAAAAACCCUACUGAAAAGCUGAACAUGUUGUUCAGCACUUGUGAAAACAACAUGUGACUGCAUUUUAAAACUAUGCUGGUAAUUUGACAUUCACAAAUGUGUUAUCACCUGGAAAAAUCUCCUAAAUGUAACAGGCAAUUAUAUUAAUCUUGUUGAAAAUUAAUCUUAUUUUAUCAUAUCAG